UCUCGUCUUCGACCUCAAAAGCUUGAGUGGACCCGUUUCAGCGACUCUUUAUCUCGGCUACUCUCUCUUUAUGGUCCUGGCUAUCAUGCUCGCAACAGGUACCGUUGGUUUCCUCUCUUCCUUCUGGUUCGUACACUACUUGUUUUCUUCGGUGAAACUUGACUAAGGAAUCAGACCAGAGGCUUAUUGGCUUAAAGAGAUUGUAUAACUUUUUGGAGAGAACUGAGAUAUCGUUUAAGCAAAGGCAUCAAUCAAAUCAUUCAAUUGCUCCAACAAGGAAGUGUAAGGGUUCAUUGUGUCAUAUUGGAAGCUUCAAAUUUUCCUUUUCAUCGUGUAAGAAAAUUUGUUUCCUCUUUCUUGUUUUUCUCAUCUUGUUGCAUCUUUUAUGGUAAUGCCUCUGAACUUGAAAAUGUUUAUUUUUUUCCUUAAUGUUUAAGAUUAAUUUUGGUUCUGUUCGGUUUUGAUUACUAUAGAAUACACACUCUACCAUGUUGGUGACCGUUGCCUUUUCAUCUCUUGUUUUCUAGAACUAGAAUUGACAUUUUGGUAGAGAUGUUGUGGUGGGUAAAAAAGCUCAGCCCGACCUGAAUCCAAAAUAAACCCGUCCACCAAAAACCCAACUUUAGAAAACCCAGAUGGGUUUUUGAUAUAGUGGGUAAAGCUCCAAAAAACCUGAUUGUUACGAGACUACCCGUGGGUAUCCAACUUAGUUUUUAUCAUUUUUUUAGAGUUUAUGUUUAACUGUUAAUAUACUAUUAUAUGUAUGUUAUAUCUAUAUUUUGCUUAUAAAUAUAUUUUAAAUUAUAUUUAUUUUCUGUAUUACAUAUAAAUUUGAUGGGAAAAAGGUUGAAUUGCGUCUUUGGCGGGAAAAUGUUAAAUUGCGUUUUUUGGCGGAAAAAUGUUAAAUUGCGUUUUUGGCGGAAAAAUGUUGAAUAUCAUUUUUGGCGGAAAAAUGUUAAAUUGCGUUUUUGACCGGAAAAUGUGAAAUCUUUUUGGCGGGAAAAUGUUGAAUGUCGUUUUGGCGGGAAAAUGUUAAAUUGAGUUUUUGGCGGGAAAAUGUUGAAUUGCGUUUUGGCGGGAAAAUGUUGAAUUGCGUUUUGGCGGGAAAAUUUUGAAUGUCGUUUUUGGCGCGAAAAUGUUGAAUUGCGUUUUGGCGGGAAAAUGUUGAUUGUCGUUUUUGGCGAGAAAAUGUUGAAUGUCUUUUUUGUCGGGAAAAUGUUGAAUGUCUUUUUUAGCGUUAAACUGUUAAAUCGCGGUUUUGGGGAAAAAAUGUGAAAAAAAAAUUGACAACAAAAUGUUGAUUCACUUGAAAAAUGACUUAAAAAAAAUCCGUGGGUACCUAUAAUCCAAUGAGGUAAACCCAUAUGGGUUUUAUUUAUUUGGGUACCCAGCCCAUUUUAAACCUGUGUUUUUUUUCCAGAAAAAGUAGAUGUAUGGGCUUAAAAUUUUAUGUGGGUUUUGGGUACCCAGUGAGUUUUAACCCAUCAUUAACAUCUCUACAUUUUGGUAACAAAUUGAAUCACCAGUCUAUAGAAUUGUUGAGUUUGUGAUACAUUUUUGUUAUGAAUUUGAGUAAAGAAGUAAACAAACGCGAAAUAGUAGGGAAAAUGGAAAAUGGAAUUUUCAUACCCUUACAAUCCGCCAAAUGUGUUUUUAGACUUAGGCGCUAAAUGUUUUGUAGCUUUUUAUUGGUUUUUAGUUUUUGAUUUUUUUACUUUUUAUUUUGUUGUAGAUUUUAUUUUUUGCAAAAUCAUGAAUGAAAAUUUGUUUAAUUUUUAGCUUUUACGUAAAUUGUUAAAAAAAAUCCACAAAUUUGGGUUUUAGAUUCUAUGAAGAAAUAGCUAAAAACUUCUAAAAUCUGGUUUUCUAUUUCUUAGGAAAUCUACAUUUUGUAAAAUCAUGAAUGAGUAAUUAUUUGGUUUUUCAAAAUCUAAAAACUAUUCCAAAAAUUGCAGUCAUUCAAGGCCUUAUCCAAAAAUAUACGGUUAAUUUUAACUAAACUCCAACAAAAUUUGAAUUUCAUACCUAAACUUUAUUUAGUAUCUAAUUCGAUAUCGUAAUUAACCGUUACAGUUGCGAAUCAACUGACAUAUGUUUAAUAGUAUGGCUUAAAACGACAUCGUGUUGCUUGUUUAAGUUAACGUUUGAAUUUUUCUACAAAAAUCGGGUCUCGACAAAUCGAUAUAUUUCGUAAACGAGUGAAACGUUGUGGGUUUAAGAUCCGAUUUUUGCAGAAUAAUUCAAACUUUAAAACGGUUUUUUGGCCAAAACAAAAAAUAUGAAACUAAUAAUAAAAAAUGAAAUCUAGCCUCUAGGCCACAAAUAUACAUUUGUCCAUCUUUUGCAUAAUGGAUAAGAGUACGACAAAACAUUGUGGAUAUUUAUUUUCUCCCAAAAGCAUUCUUCUUUUAAUUUAGUCCAUUUUAUAGUUUUUUGUGGUGGCCGUUAUUUAAAAUCCAGUCCAGAAAGAAACAAUGUUGCAUUGAUUGAUCCAAGGAAGGAGCAAAGUAGAGGAUUUAACAAUGGCGUCUCUUUCUCUCAGUUCUGCUCAUUUCUCUUCAACUUCUUCUUCAUCUCGCUCCUCUAUAUCCACUUCAUCGCUUUCUCCGUCGUCAACUUCUCUCCCUCUCUUACAAUCACCGAUCCGCCGCCGUUACCGCUCCCUCCGCCGCCGUCUCUCCUUCUCCGUCAUUCCCCGUCGGACUUCUCGCUCCUUCUCCACUUCCAAUUCUCAGGUACUUCUUCUUACUUACCUUGUUCUCUUCAAAUUACUGAUCCAAUCCGUUUCCUCAAAUGUGCUUAAUUUUACACAAUUCAUGACCAAUUCGGAAUCUGUAGAUGGAGAAUUACUGUAAUGUGUUUUGUAUCCGUUUGUGAAUUGUGAUUGUAUAGAUUAGGUGUUCGAUAAAUGAGCCGUUGAAGGUGAUGAUUUCGGGUGCACCGGCUUCAGGAAAAGGCACUCAAUGUGAGCUCAUUGUUCACAAGGUAAUAUUUUCCACUCUUCUCUAUCGGUUUCUUGUUUUGAGCUCAUUGUUCACAAGGUAAUUUUUUUAUACUCUUUCAUGAUCUCUUUUCUGGUUGUCUUAUGGGUUCUGACUCAUGGUAGAUUCUCUCUUGAGUGCGGUGAAGAAUGGAUAUGCAUUUAAAAUUAUCUAGUAUACUGAACAAUGCAUAUAAAACGUUUGCUGUGACUCAUAAAAUCUUAUUUGCCAUCCAAAGGUUGCUGAAUUUUCCUUGAUCUUUGGACUGUUCAUUAAAUUAUUGCAAUAAUCACAGUUUCUAGUACGUUUGAUGUAAGGAAGACUAUCUAUGUUGCCAUUGUUUGUAUGUCUUGAUUUAUAUCAAGUUUCUCUUUCUUGGUCAUGCAGUUUGGUUUGGUGCACAUAUCAACAGGGGAUCUAUUGAGAGCAGAGGUGUCAUCUGGGACAGAUAUUGGAAAGAGAGCAAAAGAGUUCAUGAACUCGGGUAGUUUGGUUCCUGAUGAGAUUGUUAUAGCGGUACUGAUUUUACUUACCUGUUUCAUGCAUUAUUUUAUAAUAUUACUCUGAUAUCUACUACCUUUCUAGAUGGUGGCUGGAAGAUUAUCACGUGAAGAUGCUAAAGAGCAUGGAUGGCUUCUUGAUGGAUUUCCACGGAGUUUUGCCCAGGCACAAAGUCUGGACAAACUGAACGUGAAACCUGACAUUUUUAUCUUACUAGAUGUACGUGCAAAUUACUCUUAUUGCGUUUGUUAUCCAUUUCAGCAAUAGGUGUUGAAACCAAUUUUCACUAUCAGUGGCUAUGUUUCUUUGCUUAUAUGUCAUUCUUAAUGACAGGUUCCUGAUGAAAUUCUGAUCGAUAGAUGUGUUGGUCGAAGGUUGGAUCCAGUGACUGGAAAAAUUUAUCAUAUCAAAAAUUACCCUCCUGAAUCAGAUGAAAUUAAAGCAAGACUGGUUACACGCCCGGAUGAUACAGAGGAGAAGGUGACCUUUUGGACCUAUUAUUUGCUUUUGAAUUUUUUAACUACCGUCAAUUGUAAUCUCACAAGUUUACUUCGUUGAAGGUAAAAGCACGGCUGCAAAUAUACAAACAAAAUUCUGAAGCGAUUAUUUCAGCAUACUCAGAUGUUAUGGUCAAGGUACUAGGCAAUUUUUUUUUGGUUUCCCUUAACCUUUGGUUCUUAAAGUAUUGCAAUGCCAUCUUUGAUAUUUGUGGUUUGGUAUCAUCUCAUUCGAACACAGAUUGAUGCAAACAGGCCAAAAGAAGUGGUUUUCGAGGAGACCCAGACUCUACUGUCUCAGAUACAGUUAAAGAGAAUGAUAAAGACUGGCAAGUAGUCACACAUUUAUAUAUAUAUGUAUAUUUUCAUGGUGCCGUUCUUGAUAGCAGGGUCAGUGUUUUCCAGUUCAAGAUGAGUUUCCCCAAUCUUUGUAAUCUUAACUUUUAUCUUGUUCUAUUCUAGGUUAUUUAGAAAAUACCUUGUUCAGUAAUUUGUCUCUUUGCUUCCAUAGGAAAUACCAUCUUUUGGUUGUUAUUAGAAUUUUGAUUCUGGUAUUCUAAACAAUAAUCUUGGUUAAACUUUAUGGACACAUGUAACAUAGAAAGGGAGAUUCAGGAACUCCCCUAGUGUGUUUGAAGAUUUUAUUGUCAAUCAUUAUGUUUUAGGACUAAAUUUUUCCUUUUACUUCUUGUUUAACUUUGAUUUGAUGACCACUGUAUGCAUGCGACGCUAAUUCUGAAACAGGUCCUUGCAGAUAAAGCAUCUCCUGUUCAGGUCCUUGAAUAAUACUUUUCUUUGAAGCUAUCAAGUAGCUGGAAGUAAAUUGGGAGAUAUUCUUAUCUUUGUCAUGUAACAUUUCUUUCAGGAUAAAUGGAGAGGAAUACCGACGAGAUUGAAUAACAUUCCACAUUCGAGGGAUAUCAGGGCUUAUUUUUAUGAAGAUGUGCUGCAAGCCACAAUUAGAUCUAUCAAGGAUGGUAACACCCGUCUUCGGGUGAGGCUAAUCCACACAAUCUAUUUGCAAUGUCGCAUGUUAUGUCAUCUUUAUUUUGCAAUUCCUAAAGCAGCUGCUUGACGGGACUGAUACUGUUACAAAUGAAUAGGUGGACAUUAAUAUCCCUGAGCUAAAUCCGGAAAUGGUCAGUUAUUCAUUUCACUAACUGUUUUAUACGAUUUCUAAAGCUUCAUAAGUUGUACCAAAAAGCAAGCUAUUGUGAUAAAUAGGAUGUUUACCGGAUAGGAACCUUGAUGGAACUUGUUCAAGCUUUAGCUUUAUCAUUCGCUGACGAUGGAAAAAGAGUGAAGGUAUACAUGGUUUGGAAGACUUAAGUGAUGUCACAUGAAUACAGUUUCACAAAUCUUGUUCAUUCAGCUUUUUUCCUCUUCCAGGUUUGUGUUCAGGGAUCAAUGGGGGAAGGUGCACUUGCUGGGAUGCCAUUGCAGUUGGCAGGCACUCGAAAGAUUUUAGAAUAUAUGGACUGGGGUGAUGAUGAAACUUUGGGAACUUUCGUCAAGCUUGGUGCAAUUGGUAAAUAUCCAAAACCAAAUACUUUUCAAAGAUGUAUUGACAAAACCAUGUUUAACACUAGAAAUACUCAGAUACCUCUUGACUUUGGUGUCUUCUGGCUUUAGUAACUAGAGAAUCUCUCAACUUACAAAAACUGCACCAUCAACAGAAUAUUGUUGUGUCAAUAAUCAAACUUGUGAUGCAUAAUAAAGUUGGAUACAUUGAAUUACACAUUAUUCUGCUCUUUGAUUAUGUGUUUGCAAUGACAGGUGGUAAAGAAGUUGAUGAAGAAGAUGACAUGUUCAUCUUAGUGGCUCCACAAAAUGCCGUUGGAAACUGUAUUAUAGAUGUGAGGAGCUAGGAAUGCUUGAAUUCGUUAUUCAUUUGAACUUAUCGACCUCAUUUUAUAGAAUAUACCGGAUUCGUUUGUUAGGAUCUACAAGCGAUGACUACUGCUGCUGGGAAAAGGCCAGUUGUACUUAUCAAUCCUCGCCUCAAGGUACAUUUUCUGCUUGCACUUUUUUAUAUAGAGACAAUGGGUAACAAUGUGAUCUAUAUUGUGAGUUACAUGUUUCAUAUACCUUAUUAUUUCAGGACUUGCCCGCUUCGAGUGGCAUAAUGCAAGUAAGCACACAAAGUGAUUCUUUACCCAUCCAAUAAGAAGAUUAUGUUGCUUAUAAUUUCCUUGGUGUCUCAGACAAUGGGCAGGGAGCAAAGGCUGGAAUAUGCUUUGACGUUUGACAACUGCUAUGUAUUCCGGCUUCUCUAUUAUUUGGGAACACAAUACCCGAUUAUGGGCGCUCUAAGGUACAGUUGUUGGGUUAUGAAGUAGAGAAACAACUAUCAAUGUCAAUUCAUUCUGAAUGUUUGACCUGAAUUUGGUCAGGAUGUCUUAUCCAUACCGGUAUGAGCUUUAUAAGAGAGUGAACGAGGAAAAUGGAAAGGAGAAAUAUGUCUUGCUAGCAACGUACGCUGAAAGACCAACCCCUGAACAAAUCGACGAUGCCUUCUCUGGAAAAUCGCGGUAAAUUGUUUCCAUGGUCCUUCUUAACACAUUGGGCUUAUGAUAAUUUUGAACAAAAACUGAGAAUGUCAUUUCACAUCAGGGAUCAAAGCAAGAAGGCGUCAGGAAUCUGGUAAUGAGCACUACAUAGUUAUUUAAAUGAGGAUUUUUGUGUGUGUGUGUAAAGCUAAAUGUGAGGGAUACUUGCAGGGGGUUCUUGAGUAGCGUGUUUUCGUAAUGGAACUAGGAAGCUGAAGUUGUGGAACAUUCAUUAAAUGCUCAUCUAUCAGUUACCAAACAGAGAGAGAGUGAUGCUGCUACUUUUUGUUCAUAAUUUUCUCCUUUUAUUAUGUCUCAGAUUGUUGAUUAUCUUACUUUGGGGCAAAUAAAACUGAAAACUGUGAUUAUUUUAUUACGUAGUGUCACAUAACCAAAAAGUAACCUCACUCUCGUACAUUUUAAAGCCUAAGUCAUGAAUGGCCGAGAAUAUUGUUCACUAGUUACUGCAACGGCAUUUAUAGGUCAUCUCAUAAGUGGCCUUCUAAUAAUUUUGUUUUUCAUCAGUUUUUUUAACCACAUUAUUUUGAAUAUUUUGAAUUAUUGUAUUGUGAAUUGUAACUAGAUAAAAAUUGUUUCUAUGUCUAUGGUUGGUCAAUCAAUUUCUUGCACUUAGAAAUACUGAUUAAUAGGUCCAAAUAGAUCAAAAUUAAUAUUGAUUGACCCGUCUUGCAAUCAGUUUCUUAAAUUUUAAUUUUUCUUAUUAAGAUAAAAAUGUAUAGUCUUAGAAGAAAAACAAAAUUAGUAAAAUGUUUUAAUUAUUUUGGGGUUUUGCUGAGGGCUCCGCCUCUCCCAUAGAUUGAUACACACUUUUUUUUUUUGGGUUAAAUAUACACACCCUUUACAUACUAGAAAGUAAUUUGAUUAUGUCAAAGGUUACAUAAUCAACUAAAGCGUAUUAGUGAAUUUAAUAAAUUCUUACUUUUAGUAAUUAAUUAUCCCUCCGUGUCGACUUGCUCGAAAAUGCAUGUUAAAUGGCUAAAUGUUUAUUUUAAUGCAGAGUCUGAAAAUGGCAAAACAAAAACAUUCACUUGACGUGGAUGGUUUUGAUUGGAGAGCAUAAAUUCGUCGCAGACUAGGCUCAGAAUCAAUGAACCCACCAAACUAACAAACUCCAUAAUUGAAACAAACAAAGAAAAAAGUGGAUUCUCAAAAUUGAAUGAAGCAACGAACGAUUCAACAUCAAAUCUAGCUGAAUUAUUGUUUCGCGUUGAUUGAUUGAUCCGGAGAAAGGCGAUGACAUCGCCUGGAUCGAAGAAAGUUGUUACCACCGACGACGGAUCGGAGAAGAAAGUUUCCGGCAAUCUCGGAAAAGUAAGUUUUUCCGGAGAUCUUAAUCAUAGUGGAAGCCAUAGUGGAAGCCAUAGUCGUAGCAGCAGCAGCGCCGGAGGUGGUGAAGGAGGAACGUUUGAGUAUUUCGGAUGGGUUUAUCAUUUGGGUGUGAAUAAGAUCGGUCAUGAGUACUGUAAUCUUCGUUUCCUUUUCAUUAGAGGCAAAUAUGUUGAGAUGUAUAAAAGAGAUCCUCAUGAGAACCCAGACAUUGUAUGUCUUUUCAUCCUUCUUCUCCGCUUUUUAAUUAGAGCUUAAAAGAAUCAUUCCUCUGAAAUGUUGUUUACAUAAUGUGAUGUUUUUUUUUUGUUUUUUUUUUUUUUUUUUUUUUGUAGAAACCUAUAAGGCGUGGUGUCAUAGGGCCGACAAUGGUGAUUGAAGAGCUAGGACGUCGAAAAGUUAAUCAUGGGGUAAUUCUCUUCAAUAUCUACUUCUCUAAUGAAUGGAAGUAUGAGAGUAAAUGAAAAACAGGUACACUUACUAGUUUUAUUUCUAUUAUAUGUUGUAGGAUGUCUACGUUAUAAGGUUCUAUAACCGGUUGGACGAGUCAAGGAAAGGAGAAGUAAGUUAUAAUUCAAUCUUUGCUAUAGUCUUGUCUUGUGGCAAAUGCGCACUAGUAGACUUAAAGCUUGCCUGCUGUUUUGUGUAUUUGAACAUUUGGAUGAACCAAACAGUUAACGUAUAGAGUUAAUAUCGUGAUGUUCUGGUAAGUCUGUUUGCAUAACCCAGGUGUAUUAAGUAACUUUUUUUUCUUUCUAUAAACUGUAUUUUAGAUUGCUUGUGCUACUGCUGGAGAAGCCCUGAAAUGGGUUGAGGCUUUUGAGGAAGCAAAGCAGCAGGUAUUAAGGAGACGGCUCAUGUUUUAAAGUAUCAUGUAAUGUAUUGAAUUUUUCUAUAGCAUAUGAUUGGCUACAAUUUUUAAGUUCAUUGCUUGUUGUUGAAGCACUUAUUUAGUGACCAGUUUCUUGUUUCUUAAAUUCGGAUUACUGCUUUUUCUGUUUUGGAAGGCUGAAUAUGCACUAUCGAGAGGCGGAAGUACAAGAACAAAGUUAAGCAUGGAGGCCAAGUAUGAUCUAAUUAUCAUAUGAUUAGUGCUUUAGAUGAUAUUUAUUAGUAGCUAAGUGUUUCCUGUUUUGGGGGAACUGAGAAGAUGAGGCUCUUCCUACAGAAAAUGCAUAAAGUUGUGAUGUUAAAAUUUCUGUUCUUAAUCAGAUCAAAUUGUUUUAAAUAGUAGAAGUCCACUUUUACUCCACAAUUGCUGAAUCACACUCUAUUUUCUUUUGAAGCAUCGAUCUGGAAGGACAUCGGCCUAGAGUACGGCGUUAUGCUUAUGGAUUAAAAAAGCUUAUCCGAAUUGGGCAAGGUAUACACUGUAUCUCAAGUUUAUGGGCUUGCUUAGCUUCAGAAUCUUACACUGUGUGUGCAGAUUGCUAAAAGUUCAUUUGUUGGUGUAUAGCCUAUAAUUAUUAUCGUAGUUCAUCUCCAAAUCUUACAUUGGAAAAAAACAUUAGAACUCAUUUGCCUAUUUUCCUUGUUACCCCUAUCUUUGGGUUGGGCACAUGCUAAAUGACAUAACUGGGAAAAGUGGUCCUGAAGAUUCUGAUUAUGUCUACAUUUAAAUGGAUCGACACCAGAUUUAAAUAAAUGUUCUGUGUAUUAGUGAAACUGUAGUUCGAAAUUUAUAAUCCUACAGCCCUUGACUUUAUUAUGCAUUGAUAGGUCUGGUUCCAUAGUUAAUUUGAUUUCUUAACGUUUAAUCUAGUGGUUAUUCAUGAUUCAAGACAUAAGGUUCACCUGAAAGUUACUUUUCUUUCAAAGCAAAUAUGUAUGAUAAUGUUCUUAAAUGCCAGGUCCAGAGUCUCUUUUGAGGCAAUCAUCUACCCUGGUUAAUGAUGUCAGGGGUGAUGGUUUCUAUGAGGGUGGUGACAAUGGAGAUGCAAUCGAGGCACACGAAUGGAAAUGUGUUCGUACAAUCAAUGGUACAUCCCCACUUACUUAUAUCUCGAAAACAUGCAUCAAAAUGCAUUAUUGUGGUGUUUCCUUUUGGCUAUUUAUACUUCUCUAUCAGUUAUAAAGAGGUAAUUGUAGAAGACUCAUAAUCACCCAAAAGAUGCGGACAUAAUUGUCCAGUUUUUUUUAGAUUGACUGGUUUUCAUCUCUAUGAAUCUGAAGGUUGUUUGGAAAGAUAGUAGUACUUAAACGUUCAAAAUUUGGAGAAUUUAAGGCCUAAACACAUUGAGAUUGUUCUUAUGCUUUGCCUACUCUUUGAUACAUAACCUUCAAUUAUCUAUUUUUCUGUAUAUUGUUUGCAGGUGUUAGGAUUUUUGAAGAUGUUGCUAACUUCAAGGUAUUUUGUCAUUCAGGAAUUACUUUAAACUAUUUCCAGAUGAAUGGAAACUGAACCACCUUAUUUUAUGCCUCCAUUACAAUAUUUGCAAUCUUGUGAGUUUUAAUUGCCAUCACAUUAAUUCUUAUCGGCCAGGUAACAAAUUGUAAUUAGAUCUUGUAACUAAGUGUUCUCAUCUCCAGAAUUUAUGCAUUCAGAAUAACUGCGAUAAUUUAUGCCAAGGUGGCAACUAUUGUUUUUAUUUGGUUGUUUUGCAACUGGUAGUUCACUGGGAAAAACUGUAAUUGGUUGUAUUCAGUUAUUGGUUGAUGCUUAGAAUCCCCCUGAGGUUUUGUCAAAAUGAUUUCUUCUUUAGGCUGGUCGAGGAGUUCUUGUGAAAGCCGUUGCUGUAGUUGAAGCAAGUGCGGAUACCGUGUUCGAAGUACUUUUGAACAUUGACAAACAUCAAAGAUACGAGUAAGCUCAUUUCCUUGAAUAUAUAGAUGUCAUUUUUACUUAGCCCUUUCUAACUAUCUGCACAGGUGGGAUGCAGUAACAGGUGAUUCGGAAAAGAUAGACUCAUACGAGGGUCACUAUGAUGUCAUUUAUUGCAUAUACGAUCCUAAAUAUCUUUCGCGGUAUGUUGUUUAUCUGAAAGUCUGGUUUUCCUUAGUGACACACUGGUCACCCUGUAUUUUUUAGUGAAAAGACGCAUACGUUAAAAUGUCUUGCUAUCUUUCCUCAUUCGAUCAGAUGUGUGUUUUCUCCAGUUUCGACAUGUUGUACAAUUUCUCCAUAUAUCACUUCAUUCAGUGGAUAGUUUUGCACUUACAUUUUCUUCAUUGAACUGAUUGGUUAAAUAGUAUAUUUUGCAGAUGGCAGUCAAAGAGAGAUUUUGUGUUCUCUAGACAGUGGGUUCGUGGGCAAGAUGGGACAUAUAGUAAGUCCAGAGGAAUACUAUUCUAAAUAACGUUUUCUUAUAUAUUCUGAUGUCUGUAUUGGCUAUGCAUAAAGGUAGUGAUUAGUGUUAGUCAUGCCACUAGGUGGUUAGUGAAUUGUCUGGGUUAUAGUUGUGUUGAAUGAAGACAGGAUUGAAUUGUCAAGUGUAUGAAUGAUACAAGGACAGAUUAAGUAGGUUAAUGUUCGUUUCUUGAAUUUCCGAACUAAACGUAAUACCCACCAAUGAACAUUAUUAUUAGGUUACAACAUCAAAUACAAAACAGAGAACAGUACAGAAAAAGAAAAUUCAGAUUUAUUGCUUAUCUGUUGUUCUAUGAGCCCUGGAGAAGACAUGUGAAUCAUGUAUAGAAGCUAGAGAAACCUACAUCUAAAUCUGAACUUCACAGUAACAGAUUUUGUAAAUUUCUGUCAGCUCACUGCCACCUAGAAAUCUUAGUCAUGCAUUCUUCUCUCUGAUAUUAGUUUUGAAUGAUAUCUUCUUACUCAUGCGACCUAGACACUCAUUAAUUCAUUAUUUUUUAUUUUUUUGAAAACGACUAUCGAUUGAAUAUCUCAAGCUAGUCUCUCAUGAUGUACUUUUUAUGCAGCAAUCUUACAGUUUCCAGCAGUGCAUAAGAAACGGCCUGCAAAGUCUGGAUAUCGACGUACAGAAAUCACGCGUAAGAUAUUUUCUUUAGAUAACCUCGUCCGUAGUUUUUACUUUUUUUGCUAUGCUGCAUGUUUGGGUACUAUCCUUGUUACUAUCCAAAGUGUUUCCAACACCGAUCUGAUUGGGUACUUCAAUAGCCAGAGGUUCUCGUGUAUACUUACUUGCUUGUGAUUACUUGCCCAUCCGUCUCUGCAAUAGUGUUGAGUUCUGCAGCUAGCUCACAAAAUCUAGAGCAGUAUCAUAGGCUCUUGGGGAAAUAUUAUUGGCUUGAUAACCAUAGGAUGUGGGAUUACUGUUCUUUUUCAUUUUACUAACUUUACUGUAUAUAUUACCUUUCUUCUUUCUGGAUCCGUAAUGUGCUUACAUAUCGCCUAGAAAGGCAUUUUCGCUCUACGUUUUAGACCUUUCAUCUCUGUUUCGUUCUUGUUGAUUUCAGCAUCAACUUGGGAAAUCAAAAGCUUAAAAAAGCGCAGCGAUGCAGAAACUCCAAGUUGUCUUGUAACACACAUGCUAGAAAUCCACUCUAAACGUUGGUGCAAAUGGAAGAGGACCAGCUACUCAAAGUUUGAAAAGACUAUUCCAUAUGCAUUACUCCUCCAAGUAGCAGGUUAGAUGCAUGCCUCAUCUCCUUCCAGAUCUUACUAAGAGUAUGAACACAAGAAAUGAGUAGGAAGUCUAGAUGUGAUAUCUGUGGUAUGUAUGAUAUGUGUUGAGGAAUGAGAACUUGUGAGCACAUAUGAAGAUUAGCAGUCACUAUAUAUCCGCACAUCUUUGGGAUAAUAAUACAUGUAGUAUGCUUCGCCUUUAUUACAAUUGGAAGCUUCUUUUUUUGGGCAUAGAAGUUAAUAAACUUUAUUUGGCAUGCUGUUGAAAGUAAAUGCCUGACCUCUAGGUACAAUAGAUGUCACAAGUUCCAAAUGGUUUUUGUUUCAUGUUCUUGUUAAUGAUAUAUCAGGUCUGAAGGAGUACAUUGGAGCAAACCCAGCCUUCAAGUAUGAAACUUCCGCCACGGUUGUCCAGUCCAAGUUCCAAGAUGUCCCCAAUGGUGAAUAUGUAGAUGAAGAAAUGGAGGAGCAGUUUUAUGAUGCCACGGACUCAUCAUCUGGAGAAGAGGAUGAGGAGGAAAGCGAUGACGAUGAUGAAAAUCAGGACAAUAAGGUAACUAUUUGGUUUUGAUAUCCUCUUGUCAAUUUAUAAUUUUACUUUCAUAUUUAUAGAGUAAAGAAUCAUGAACAGAAAUAAAAAAACGAAAAGCUCCUCCUUAUUGAAAUCAGAAAGGCUUAAAAUAAAACACCCAAAACAAAGAAACUGUUUCCCUUGGUAUAAAACUUCAAAGCACUCUCUAGCUUUGGAUGAGUCUCACAGACUGGAUUUCAUCCCUAGAUAUACUAAAAUGUAAAGACAAAGCACACUUAGGAAAAGGAAAUGAGGAAAAUAUUUCAUGAACUAGGAAAUAGAAGGAAUACAUACCACACAUAAUCUAAGAUGUUCAAAGUUCCUAUUAACUAUUCGUGUACAGCCCAUGAGGUGAGCAACUAGUACUGAAAUUAUCAAAAUAAUGGAGAAUUCUGUUGUUUCAAUGUUAAAAACAGGAGAUAAAAGUUAAACUGAAGAAUGUUUCAUGGGCAAUCGCUAGCUUAUCUUUGAAGCGACCUAAAGGUUUUCUCUUUACUUUUUACUAGUACAUUAAGUUACCAAUGGCUCACUUAGGCAAUAUAAUGGAUUUAUAUCUGUUCUUGAUAAUUUAUAAAUGAGUAACUUGAGGACCUCUUAUUGGUAUUUGUUUCCAAAGUUAAUCAUAAGUUCCAUAGUAUAUGACACUAAUAUGUAUAUGCAAGCAUUUUUAUAUGAAAAACUACUUUAUUUAGAUGAGAAUGAAAAAAUGUAGAUAGCUUUUGUAGUUACCAUUUUGUAACUGGUCCAUUCUUGAGUUCUAUGUUUGGAGAAAGGGCCCAAUUUAUAAAUUUACAAAAUAUUGGCGCAGAUUAGAAGUCAAAAAUACUUUUCUAUAUUGUUUGAAAUCUCAAUGUAUUAAUAUAUCAGCUCUAUUUUUACAUUAGCUCCAGGCGCAAGUAAUGUAUUAGACGCUAGUGUUGAUCCUGUGAGUAUCGAUCCAAGUCAGUUCCAAGGAUCUCUGCGCAAAGGAAAUGGUGAUAAGGACUCAAAUUGCUGGAAUUCUCCUAGUGGCAUGGGGUUUAUGAUCAGGGGAAAGACCUACCUAAAAGAUAAUGCAAAGGUAGCUUUGGAAUUCUUGCAUCUACUUUAAUAUUCUACAUUUCAUACAUAACGUGAAAUGGAAUAGAAAACAAUGAAGGGUCUGUUUCGUAGACGCCACUGCACUCAGGUCCUCCAUGACUGAACCAUUAACUUCUUCUGAUAUACUGAUUUUGGUUUCUUUAAUUUAUCAUCUUUGGAUACUACCGCAUCUAUUAAUUUUCUAGACUGAUUUCUGAUUCUGAACUACUUAGCUCUUGAAUUGGAUUAUCUGACAAAGUGCAUGGUUCUCUCAUGUUAAUUUGUGUGCAAAUUAAUAAAACCUAUUGUGCAAUCUAAGGUGAUGGGUGGGCAGCCCCUUCUAACACUUAUAUCAGUGGAUUGGUUCAAAGUUGAUAGUGCUGUAGACAACAUCGCCCUGCAUCCAAAAUGUCUUAUCCAGGUACUCCCUUGACCUGUAUUUAACUAACCAUCAGGGCCUUCUUUCCUAUUAAAAGCAAGUAUUAAGUGCGACUUGUCACCGUAACUCGAUUUACCAUGAGGCAUUGUAUUUACCCUCUUCGCCUUGUGGCUAAGUCUGGUGAUACUUUGUAAGUUAUUGAUGAGUUACAGUGUGUUGGAAAAGUAAGAAGAAAACAUACAAACAUUAUGUAUUUAGUCUCCUAUGAUUGAAAGAGCCUGAUUUGGAAGUUUUCUCAAUUGUAGUCGGAACCUGGGAAAAAGCUCCCAUUCAUCCUAGUCAUCAAUCUACAGGUAUGAAUGCAAUCUGCAACAUAAACUCUAUACAUAUAUCACUCUUCUUACAAAAGUUUGUUUGAAUAAGUGAGUCCAAUUAGAAAGUACCUCAACCCAUACAUAUCAAUACUAAUAUAUGAGUUUUUUUGAAGAUAGUGUCGCUAAACCUCUUGUUCGUCUUUGUUUAUUCGUAACUAACAAUCUGUCACUCGUAUAUCACUAGUAGUUUAUAAUAUUUUGGAUUUAUGAUAGUACAUACUACCAUCACCAAUCAUUUUUCCCUCUACUUAAAGUCUAUCUAACUGUAAUAUUUAUUAGUAAUCAUGGGUUAAGUUAGUCUCUGGAAGAAGUCAAAAUGUUUUUAUUCUUCUUUUUCAGGUACCAGCAAAGCCUAACUAUUGUCUGGUACUCUACUAUGCUGCGGAUCGACCUGUAAACAAGACUUCAUCCCUGGGAAAAUUCGUGGAUGGGAGUGACAGUUACCGCGACGCAAGAUUUAAGCUAAUUCCAAGUAUUGUUCAGGUAAAGAAACUCUGCUCUUCUCGUUUCCACUGAAAUAUAGUAAACUUAGUCACAUUGUAACCGUCAUGGUGAAUCACAGGGAUAUUGGAUGGUCAAGCGGGCUGUUGGAACAAAAGCCUGCUUGCUCGGUAAAGCUGUGACCUGUAAGUACCUGAGGCAGGAUAACUUUUUGGAGGUAUAAAUAGUUUCUACUUCCCUCGAUUCUUUCAUUGCAAUAAACUAAGUUUACAUGAUAGAUAUGAGAAUUGUUUUUCACUUAUGAUUUACAUGAAGUAUCAAUAUUUCUCGUAAACCAUAAAAUAAACAGUACAUGUCCAACAUACACACACAUGGUUGCUGAGUUCUUAUGAAAUCGUGGUGUUGCAGAUUGAUGUAGAUAUUGGAUCAUCGGCUGUUGCGAGGAGCGUUAUUGGUCUGGUCCUUGGUUAUGUCACAAGCCUCAUUGUUGAUCUCGCCAUCUUGAUUGAGGUUUGUUUGGGGUCUCACUGCUAGACUUAUCAUAUCUUUAGUUAAAACAUCUUUGUGAAUGCGAUCAUCAGUUAAAUGUUCAACUACCAAAUGCAAAUGCAGGGAAAGGAGGAAAGCGAUUUGCCCGAGUAUAUCCUUGGGACAGUUCGACUUAACCGAAUAGAGCUGGACUCAGCCGUAUCAUUUGAGGUUUGAGAUUUGAUCAAGGAUUAAAGAUUUUAUCCGAUUGUAACAAUGAAAUUGUCGUACUUAAUCUCACUGCAAUCAAUAACUGCAGGAAUGAGACCAUCCAGUGCCGACUAUAACAUGUGACAUAUGUCUUAUGGAUUGCGACCCUUUGGCCAAAACAAAAAUAACAUAUGAAUAAUGAAAGAUUGAACCGUACAAUUUUUCUUCUUUUCUUUCAGAGAUUGUAAGCUCAGACGAGUGAAGAGGUUUAGUUUUUUCAAGGUGGAAUGGUUUAUAAGUUAAUGAACUUUGAAGUCGUUACUGAUAAAAGAUUUGACUUUUUGCUAAGUGUUGAGAAUGAAUUUAAUUGUUUAACAUGUCAAGUUUAGUGAUCAGUCUAAGUUGAUUAAACGAGUACUAAUCAAAAGUCUACAAAAGUAAGAUAUAUAAUCGUCUCUGGCUUGUGUUCUAUUUAAGAAAAUGUUAGAAAGCCUGAGUUAAUAUCUCUGAGUAGGGAAAGAACGGACUUCAAUUUCAAAGAAUGGUGGAUAAAAGGCUGAUGUGGGAUCAAUUAACUGAAUAAUCAGCUUAAACUGUAGAUUAGAUGGUCGUUAAAGAAAUACAGUUAAAGCUCUAUAAGUGAAUAACGUCGAGAUAAAAAAAAAUAUAUUUAUUUUGAGAAGUAUUAAUUUACAGAAAGAUUUUACAAAUUUUGUAAUUUCUUACAAAGCUUCUAUCUAAAAGUAAUUGUUCUUUUCUUUAAAAUUAAUAAUCUUUCUGAAAUUUUCAAAAAACUUAUUAUCUUAUUAAUUUAUCGAUUUGUAUCAUUUUUUACACUGGUCCCAACUCGAGACCAAAAAAAUUUAUUAAUUUUUAGAGGUUAUUAUUUUCUCGAGUAUUAGGUUAUACAUGUUUUACUGUAUACGGUAAUUUGAGAAUGCAUAAUCAAUUUAGGGUAUGUAUCUAUAUCUCUUUCUUGUAUAAUCAUUAUUCAACAAUAACAAACAUAACCCAGUUUGCACAAAAAAAAACAGAAACAUAACCCAAAACUCUAUAUGGUAUAAAUCAAGGACAAUAAAAUUUAAAUAAAAUCUGAUACAUAAAAUAAAUUUUGUGUGUCACAUUAAUGUUUUUAAACAAAAACUAUAUAACUGUAUCUUCUAUAUGGCUAAAUAAUUUUUCAAUAAGCAGGUUUAUUUUUUUUUUGGAACUAAUUAAGUAAAUAUAAUCAAACAAAAUAAUACGAAAACAUCUCAAACCAAUUGAAGGUUGGUAGAGAGAAUCUAAUAAUUUUUCAUACACCCCACACAUUACUAUUUUCAAACAAACAACUUAGCACGUAUAAAUGUAUUUGAAAGUGCUAUACACGAACCCAAGAUGGGACAAUACUAUAAUAUUUAUAUACAUAGAAGAAAGACUAUAUAAAGGACUUUCAUUUUCAAGUAAAUCAUAACCAAAACAAAGAAACAAAAAGAGCAGCGACGAGUACAAUGAGAUCCCCAAGAGUGAUGGAGCGAGUGCAUUGCAUGGUUUAUGUCGUGGUCUUAAGUGCCAUUGCAGCUACAGUGACAGCAUACCCUUACUCAUCCCAUCAAACACCACAAUACAAUUCUCCAGUCCACAAACACGAAUCAUCUUAUUCACCUAAAAAGUAUUCCCCAUACUACUCGGCAUCACCACUACCUCCACUACAAUAUAGAAGACAAGGCCCUAAGUACACGCCACAUCCAAAACCGUAUCUUUUCAACUCUCCACCACCACCUUAUUACUCUCCUUCUCCAAAGGAAGACUACAAGUCUCCACCACCACCAUAUGUCUACAACUCUCCACCACCACCGUAUUACUCCCCUUCUCCUAAAGUAGACUACAAAUCUCCUCCACCACCAUACGUCUACAACUCUCCACCACCACCUUAUUACUCUCCUUCUCCAAAGGUAGAAUACAAGUCUCCACCACCACCAUAUGUCUACAACUCUCCACCACCACCUUAUUACUCUCUUUCUCCUAAAGUAGACUACAAGUCUCCACCACCACCAUACGUCUACAACUCUCCACCACCACCUUAUUACUCUCCUUCUCCAAAGGUAGACUACAAGUUUUCACCACCACCAUACGUCUACAACUCUCCAUCACCACCAUAUUACUCUCCUUCUCCUAAAGUAGACUACAAGUCUCCACCACCACCAUACGUCUACAACUCUCCACCACCACCUUAUUUCUCUCCUUCUCCAAAGGUAGACUAUAAAUCUCCUCCACCACCAUAUGUCUACAGCUCCCCACCACCUCCACCAUACUAUUCUCCUUCUCCAGAAGUCAGCUACAAGUCUCCACCACCUCCACCAUACUAUUCUCCUUCUCUAGAAGUCAGCUACAAGUCUCCACCACCACUUUUCGUCUACAACUUUCCACCACCUCCACCAUUCUAUUCUCCUUCUCCAAAAGUCAGCUACAAGUCUCCACCAGCACCUUAUGUCUCAAAGACACCCAACUAUUGAGUUUGAAUUGUUUCAUAAUCCAUAAGAAUGAUUGAAAUAAUUUGUUUUUAUGAUUCUGUCCAUUUAUUCUUGUAAUAUUGUCCCUUGAUUCUUUUGAUUUUGUUCCUUGUUCAACUAUUUGUUAAGCUUUUUAUGUAACCAAUAAAUUUUGGUUAUUUCUGACAUGCAAUUGUUUAUUUAAUAUUUGUUUGAAUUGGCUAAAAAUUUGUAAUAUGUUCGUUCUGCUAUCAGAUGAUAAUUUUUCUCUUUUA
rnacentral:lncRNA from 1 species